rnacentral:rRNA from 1 species
CGCGGCCUAUCAGCUUGUUGGUGAGGUAAAGGCUCACCAAGGCGACGACGGGUAGCCGGCCUGAGAGGGCGACCGGCCACACUGGGACUGAGACACGGCCCAGACUCCUACGGGAGGCAGCAGUGGGGAAUAUUGGGCAAUGGAGGAAACUCUGACCCAGCGACGCCGCGUGAGGGAUGAAGGCCUUCGGGUUGUAAACCUCUUUCAGCAGGGAAUAAGCGAAAGUGAAGGUACCUGCAGAAGAAGCACCGGCUAACUAUGUGCCAGCAGCCGCGGUAAUACAUAGGGUGCAAGCGUUGUCCGGAAUUAUUGGGCGUAAAGAGCUCGUAGGUGGUCGAUCACGUCGGAUGUGAAAUUCUGAGGCUUAACCUCGGACCUGCAUUCGAUACGGGUUGACUAGAGUGUGGUAGGGGAGACUGGAAUUCCUGGUGUAGCGGUGGAAUGCGCAGAUAUCAGGAGGAACACCGAUGGCGAAGGCAGGUCUCUGGGCCAUUACUGACACUGAGGAGCGAAAGCGUGGGGAGCGAACAGGAUUAGAUACCCUGGUAGUCCACGCCGUAAACGGUGGGCGCUAGUUGUGGGAACCUUCCACGGCUUCUGCGACGCAGCUAACGCAUUAAGCGCCCCGCCUGGGGAGUACGG